UUAACAACAUUUCUAUAUUGAUACAACCACAUAGGAAAUGGUAUUUCGUACUGACAAUAAAAUGUUUGAAGAGAAUAUUAACUAGUGUCCGUUUUAUAAGAGAUUUAUUUGAAUUCAUUUGAGACCUAAUCGGAAAUAGCAAUUUCUUAUGAAGAUUCGCGUUUUAAUAUUCGCUCGACGAGGAUCAAUAGACAAAAAACCAAAAGGAAGUAAUUGGAUAAAAGGAGAUUUGGUUCUGGGUUCAAGCCCUGCCAUGUACCAUUGUGAUUUUCAAUUUUCAAAUCACCAACAUAAUUCAUUCGAUGUUCCUACGGAAAUAUAGUGAUGAACCCUGCACAUAUCGGCGAAGAAAUUCAAAGAUAUGUGUGAAGUCAACCAACACGCAGCGCCAGACUAUGACCUAGUCAUCCCUAACUUUGGAGGAUUGGAGAGAUUAUUUGUACCAGAGUUUUAUCAGUGGAAACCUACAAUCAAGUUCUUUAACCUACGAAUGUGGGAUAAUUAGAUACAAAAAAUUAUAGAGCAAUCAAUCACGAUAUAAUCAGCGAAAUAAUUAGUCUACGUAAUUACAGUGGAGAUUCUCAAGCCUUUAAGUUGAAAUUAAUUAUGAAUGUUAACCAACAAGAUAAUGUUAGAUUAUACCAAAGUUAUAACGGUCAGUUCUCACUGCCAAAACACACGUGUAGUCUCUCUCAUAAUCUUAACGAAGAGAGAGAGAGAGAGAGAGAGAGAGAGAGAGAGGGAGGGAGAGAGAGAGAGAUAGCAUGAUUUUCUGCAGAUUCUCAAUCGAAACUCAAGAAUAACUUUUAACGAAUCUCGCAACAUAGAGUAAACAAUCCGGUAGAGCGGUACACAUUGUAACAGAUGGGUGCAUUGCGACGCGCACUGCCGACUUGUGGUAAAGCGAGGCAAUCAAUCUCUAUUUUAAACUUGCUCUGUACAUCA